rnacentral:lncRNA from 1 species
GUUUUGUAUUGCUAUGGCAUCUGUGUAUCGUACAUUGAAGUUAGAGUGGUUUUCAGCAAUAAGAAAAUUGACAACAAAUGCAAGCAUUGAGAGAAACUUUUUUUGGAAAGUGCUGUUUAUGAAAAAAGAUAUGAAUUCAUUAUAAACAGAGCAGCAAAUUUAUGAAACAC